GGUAGAGAUUCUUCGGAAUCUUGAGAGCGGCGCACGGGUGCGGAACACGUGUGCAACCUGCCUUUAUCAGGGGGAUAGCCUUUCGAAAGGAAGAUUAAUACCCCAUAAUAUAUUAGAUGGCAUCAUUUGAUAUUGAAAACUCCGGUGGAUAAAGAUGGGCACGCGCAGGAUUAGAUAGUUGGUAGGGUAACGGCCUACCAAGUCAACGAUCCUUAGGGGGCCUGAGAGGGUGAUCCCCCACACUGGUACUGAGACACGGACCAGACUCCUACGGGAGGCAGCAGUGAGGAAUAUUGGACAAUGGGUGAGAGCCUGAUCCAGCCAUCCCGCGUGAAGGACGACGGCCCUAUGGGUUGUAAACUUCUUUUGUAUAGGGAUAAACCUACUCUCGUGAGAGUAGCUGAAGGUACUAUACGAAUAAGCACCGGCUAACUCCGUGCCAGCAGCCGCGGUAAUACGGAGGGUGCAAGCGUUAUCCGGAUUUAUUGGGUUUAAAGGGUCCGUAGGCUGAUUUGUAAGUCAGUGGUGAAAUCUCACAGCUCAACUGUGAAACUGCCAUUGAUACUGCAAGUCUUGAGUGUUGUUGAAGUAGCUGGAAUAAGUAGUGUAGCGGUGAAAUGCAUAGAUAUUACUUAGAACACCAAUUGCGAAGGCAGGUUACUAAGCAACAACUGACGCUGAUGGACGAAAGCGUGGGGAGCGAACAGGAUUAGAUACCCUGGUAGUCCACGCCGUAAACGAUGCUAACUCGUUUUUGGGUUUUCGGAUUCAGAGACUAAGCGAAAGUGAUAAGUUAGCCACCUGGGGAGUACGUUCGCAAGAAUGAAACUCAAAGGAAUUGACGGGGGCCCGCACAAGCGGUGGAUUAUGUGGUUUAAUUCGAUGAUACGCGAGGAACCUUACCAAGGCUUAAAUGGGAAUUGACAGGUUUAGAAAUAGACUUUUCUUCGGACAAUUUUCAAGGUGCUGCAUGGUUGUCGUCAGCUCGUGCCGUGAGGUGUUAGGUUAAGUCCUGCAACGAGCGCAACCCCUGUCACUAGUUGCCAUCAUUCAGUUGGGGACUCUAGUGAGACUGCCUACGCAAGUAAAAA
rnacentral:rRNA from 1 species